rnacentral:rRNA from 1 species
AUUGAACGCUGGCGGCAGGCCUAACACAUGCAAGUCGAACGCAUGGCGGACGGGUGAGUAAUGUCUGGGAAACUGCCUGAUGGAGGGGGAUCACUACUGGAAACGGUAGCUAAUACCGCAUACCAUCAGAUGUGCCCAGAUGGGAUUAGCUUGUUGGUGGGGUAACGGCUCACCAAGGCGACGAUCCCUAGCUGGUCUGAGAGGAUGACCAGCCACACUGGAACUGAGACACGGGCCAGACUCCUACGGGAGGCAGCAGUGGGGAAUAGUGCACAAUGGGCGCAAGCCUGAUGCAGCCAUGCCGCGUGUAUUAAGAAAGCCUGCGGGUUGGAAAGUACAGACGGGGAGGAGGCGGUACCCGCAGAAGAAGCACCGGCUAACUCCGUGCCAGCAGCCGCGGUAAUUC